rnacentral:rRNA from 1 species
AGAAUCAACGCUGGCGGCGUGCCUAACACAUGCAAGUCGCACGAGAAAGCGGACUUCGGUCUGUGAGUAAAGUGGCGCACGGGUGAGUAACACGUGAAUGAUCUACCUCCGAGUGGGGAAUAACUGAGAGAAAUCUUAGCUAAUACCGCAUAACACUUAUGAGUCAAAGCAGCAAUGCGCUUGGAGAGGAGUUCGCGGCAGAUUAGUUAGUUGGCGGGGUAAUGGCCCACCAAGACAAUGAUCUGUAUCCGGCCUGAGAGGGCGCACGGACACACUGGAACUGAAACACGGUCCAGACUCCUACGGGAGGCAGCAGUGGGGAAUUUUGCGCAAUGGGGAAACCCUGACGCAGCAACGCCGCGUGGAGGAUGAAAUCCCUUGGGAUGUAAACUCCUUUCGAUCGGGAAGAUAAUGACGGUACCGAGAGAAGAAGCCCGGCUAACUUCGUGCCAGCAGCCGCGGUAA